CCUACGGGACGCAGCAGUGAGGAAUAUUGGUCAAUGGACGGAAGUCCGAACCAGCCAUGCCGCGUGCAGGAAGACGGCUCUAUGAGUUGUAAACUGCUUUUGUACAAGGGUAAACCUGAAUACGUGUAUUCAGCUGAAAGUACUGUACGAAUAAGGAUCGGCUAACUCCGUGCCAGCAGCCGCGGUAAUACGGAGGAUCCAAGCGUUAUCCGGAUUUAUUGGGUUUAAAGGGUGCGUAGGCUGAUUGAUAAGUUAGAGGUGAAAUGUACGAGCUAAACUCGGGAACUGCCUCUAAUACUGUUGAUCUAGAGAGUAGAUGCGGUAGGCGGAAUGUAUGGUGUAGCGGUGAAAGGCUUAGAGAUCAUACAGAACACCGAUUGCGAAGGCAGCUUACCAAUCUAUAUCUGACGUUGAGGCACGAAAGCGUGGGGAGCAAACAGGAUUAGAUACCCUGGUAGUC
rnacentral:rRNA from 1 species